CCUUCGAUAGCUCAGUUGGUAGAGCGGUGGACUGUAGAGUUGUUUCAAAUGAAAUAUAAGAAAUCCAUAGGUCGCUGGUUCAAAUCCGGCUCGAAGGA
rnacentral:tRNA from 1 species